CUUUCAGUUACCGCGUAGGGCCACUGGUCUGAUAGAUAGACGCAGAACAUUGAUGUCCACUGCCUCUCAAAAGUUCUCAGACACUACCUUAGGCGGUAACGCAGCAGUGAACUGCGCCCCACAAUUCACACCUACUGCCGACCUUAGGAUCAAAGGCCGUAAUAAUAGAUCAUCAGGCAUAGGUCGCUAUUAUAGCGAAGCCCAUGAUGAUACCGGAGUUAUCUUACAUCUAAGAGCUGGGAUGCCCCAGUAUAACUCUAUCCUUAAAUUCUGGAGUGGUGCUUUUAACUACAAAGCAUCAACCCUAGCUGCCACUGGGCGACAUCCGGGUUUGUUUUAUAACCUUGGCCGUAUAACUGGCUUUAUAGUUACAUUGCCGAUACAACCUAUCAUCUUUGGUGUAAGAGGUAUCAGUUAUCUGUUAUUAGGUAAUAACCGAAGUACAAGGUACUAUAACCUUAAGCCAGCUAUGCCUCUUUAUUGGACAGCAGUUCAAAAGAUGGUUAACGCCAUAGCUGUAAAUAUGGGUCU
rnacentral:rRNA from 1 species